UUUUUUUUUUUUUUUUUUUUUUUCC
rnacentral:ribozyme from 1 species